UGCCCAUGAGAAGGCAAGGGAGUAUUCAGAGGAGAAAGCUCGAGAGAGAGUGACUCGUUUGAAUGAAAAGAUGUUUUGUCCCCAGGUCAGUGUGGGUGAGUUGGUGUAUCUGCGUCAACGGCCUCCAGGCAGGAACAAAAUUCAAGAUGCCUGGAGCCCGGUCGUGUACCAAGUAGUAGAAAUAGUGGGCACAACUUACACUGUUGAGCCACUGGAGGGAGGGCCAGUCAAAAGGGUCCAUCGGUCUGAGUUGCGUCCAGGUGCUGUGCCUACCCCUAGACCUAGGGGUAAAAGACUUGAGCCAGAUGCGCAGACGGUUACGCAGCCAGGCCGUGUGGAUCAUAACGAGGUUUCUGAACCAGGUUUUGUGGUUGUAGAGGAGGUUUUGCAACCCUGUGUGAGAUUGGGCACAGACAAUAUAAUGGACUCAGAGGCACUAGUUCUUUCGGAGUCUGAAAGUGUCAGCUCUGAAGGUGGCCAGAUUCAAAUCUCCAUAGAAGCUGGUAGAAACUCUGUUGAACCUGAUAUUGUAGUUCUGACUCCAGAGGUCACAGAUGAGCAUGCACCGUCACAGAAGUUAGAUGUUGGGGAAAUGUGUGACGCAGCAAAGAGAGAGGUACCAGUUCCUGCUGUGCGUAGAAGUAAGCGAACAACUGCUGGUGUUCACACAAAUCCUUUUCAUACCCCCAGGUCUGCGUGCCAUGCUGUGAGUGUCAGUACAGAGAUGAUGUCUCAGGUGCUGGCCAGUAUUGGCACUGCUUUGUUUGAAAAGGCCUUACAGGGUGCUAUGAAUGCCUAAACUUAUGGGUAAGUGAGUCAUCGCGGACGCUGACUUAAUUGCAGGGGAGGAUGUAACCAAGUGGAAAAUGGUAUUUAACAUUUAUUUUGCAUAUAUACACCUGUAAUUCGUAAAGCUGGCGAUAGGGGGAAGUAUUCGUGUGUGUGUAUGUGUGUGUGGUGCAGACGAGGAAGUGCACAUGCGCUCUUGUAAAUAAACGUUUGUGAUACGUGCUCAGCAAGCAGAGCGAGAGAGAUGCACUCUCGGGAAAGUUGCAAUGUUUUAGAACACAAUCCUAAGUUUAGAACAUGAUGGGAAUUGCAACUUUUGUGAAGUGAGUGUGGAUGAUUUUCUGGAAGCUCAUCAUACUUGUAUAGUAUUUCCACUGCCGUAUUUGGGGUAUUAAGGUUUAUUGUUCUGAAGUAUAUGUGCAUUCUUUUGGCCCGGUAGUCUUUAUAUUUUGUUUUAUUUGUUUUUUUUUGCAAAUUGGGUCAUAGUUUGUGUGUACUGACAAAUUGAGGUAACAGAUUUUGUGCAAAUUUUCCAUCGGGAAGUACGAGAUUUGAAAGUGAAGUGUAUUCUCAAAAUUAUUACUCUUUGAGUGAUAUUUCUGUGUUUUCUUUUUUUGUUUUUGAACCUUUUGUUUUUGUGUGAUUUAUUUGGAACAAAUGUAAAUCGGUGCACAUACAGUGAAAAAGAGAAUAACAAAAAAAGAGAGUUUUAUUUAAAAAUCAGAAAUUGAAUAAACUUAUAAAAAGUUAAACCAUGGAUUAAAGUUUUCCGUCGCUAGACGGAUUUCCGUCAAUUGCAAAAUUAUUAAAUUCACUUUUAAUAAAGACGACGUGUAUUCACCUUUUUUUAAGUUGGAUGUGAUCAAAGCCUGGGGUGGAGCCAAAUCACGUUCCUCUCUCCACUGUAAGCGUUCUGUAAUCACUACGCACCGGAUCCACUCCGGGUUUUCUGGCUGUAUCACGUUAAGCUGAGGUAAAACUUUCAGCUAGCAUGGACAAACUUGUAAUGCAGAAAGGCUCCGAUGUUUUAGCGAUUGAUAAAGGUGUAAAAGACCAAUGGAGAUUGACUUGGCUUAGCGAAAUGAUGAAGAUUGGCAAGCCUUUCAGUUCGUGGGAUAAGAAAACCAAACCGCCAGGUAAUUUACGUGUCUUUGCGAUUAGGGGUCCUGUAUUUUCUCACGUACGUGAUCACCCGCGUCCCGUUUUUGACUGCUAUGCUCAUCAGGCCAGUUGCUGAUACAACAGGUUUAAACUUGUGGGUAAACUUCAUGUGGCGCCACAAGAACCAAGAGGCAGAUGACAUCCACAUCCUGUGAGAGCGAUUUCAGGAAUCAUAAGAGGAGACUGCUUCCGAAAUGCUCUCGCGGCACUUUGAUGUCAUCCACCUGUCGGUUCUUUCAGUUUCAUUUGCGUGUGGUCUCAAAAAACGUAACAUUUGUACAUAUAUUUAAGCACCGCACUUUAUAAACAAGUGAUAUUAAGCCAUUCAAACACAAACAACAGUGUUAAUGCUAAAUGCGUUCGCUGUUUCUGUGUCAGAGCUGAACACGUAAGCCGCGCAUUCGCUUCUCAUUGUGCUUGUGAGUAUUUUUGCCACUUUAUUGGGCUUAAAUACAAAUAUGUGUCAAAAAUCCCGUCUUUGCAAGUAUCCUCAUAUAAACACGACCAUUUAGGUCUUAGGAGAAAGUAAACAGCAGAACCAUUGCGCAUAAAAUAGCACAUCAGCGCUGCCUCUAUUGUAACAUAAUAAUUUGUUGAUAAAGGUACAGUCAUCAAUUAACAACUGUCACUAUGGUUACAGACAUCCUGUGCGAAUUGUACACUAGUUUAACUCGAGUUACACGUUCAGGGUUUAUAUUCAUACAUAACGUUACUGUAAGCUGUUGUGUGAACAGAACAGACCCUGGAUUAUUCGUUUAUGUGUACUGAAUAAUAUGAUAUGAAAAAGUUGUAUUUGUUCACAUUAGUAAAUGCAUUAUAUAACUUGAAAAAACAAUGAAAAAUAUAGAAUAUAUAAGCAUUUAUUAAUUCUUGUUUAUGUCAUUACAGUAAUUGAUGGUAGUUCAUGGU